rnacentral:rRNA from 1 species
GGUUAAGCGACUAAGCGUACACGGUGGAUGCCCUGGCAGUCAGAGGCGAUGAAGGACGUGCUAAUCUGCGAUAAGCGUCGGUAAGGUGAUAUGAACCGUUAUAACCGGCGAUUUCCGAAUGGGGAAACCCAGUGUGUUUCGACACACUAUCAUUAACUGAAUCCAUAGGUUAAUGAGGCGAACCGGGGGAACUGAAACAUCUAAGUACCCCGAGGAAAAGAAAUCAACCGAGAUUCCCCCAGUAGCGGCGAGCGAACGGGGAGGAGCCCAGAGCCUGAAUCAGUGUGUGUGUUAGUGGAAGCGUCUGGAAAGGCGCGCGAUACAGGGUGACAGCCCCGUACACAAAAAUGCACAUGCUGUGAGCUCGAUGAGUAGGGCGGGACACGUGGUAUCCUGUCUGAAUAUGGGGGGACCAUCCUCCAAGGCUAAAUACUCCUGACUGACCGAUAGUGAACCAGUACCGUGAGGGAAAGGCGAAAAGAACCCCGGCGAGGGGAGUGAAAAAGAACCUGAAACCGUGUACGUACAAGCAGUGGGAGCCUCUUAAUGGGGUGACUGCGUACCUUUUGUAUAAUGGGUCAGCGACUUAUAUUCUGUAGCAAGGUUAACCGAAUAGGGGAGCCGAAGGGAAACCGAGUCUUAACUGGGCGUUAAGUUGCAGGGUAUAGACCCGAAACCCGGUGAUCUAGCCAUGGGCAGGUUGAAGGUUGGGUAACACUAACUGGAGGACCGAACCGACUAAUGUUGAAAAAUUAGCGGAUGACUUGUGGCUGGGGGUGAAAGGCCAAUCAAACCGGGAGAUAGCUGGUUCUCCCCGAAAGCUAUUUAGGUAGCGCCUCGUGAAUUCAUCUCCGGGGGUAGAGCACUGUUUCGGCAAGGGGGUCAUCCCGACUUACCAACCCGAUGCAAACUGCGAAUACCGGAGAAUGUUAUCACGGGAGACACACGGCGGGUGCUAACGUCCGUCGUGAAGAGGGAAACAACCCAGACCGCCAGCUAAGGUCCCAAAGUCAUGGUUAAGUGGGAAACGAUGUGGGAAGGCCCAGACAGCCAGGAUGUUGGCUUAGAAGCAGCCAUCAUUUAAAGAAAGCGUAAUAGCUCACUGGUCGAGUCGGCCUGCGCGGAAGAUGUAACGGGGCUAAACCAUGCACCGAAGCUGCGGCAGCGACGUUUAUGCGUUGUUGGGUAGGGGAGCGUUCUGUAAGCCUGCGAAGGUGUACUGUGAGGUAUGCUGGAGGUAUCAGAAGUGCGAAUGCUGACAUAAGUAACGAUAAAGCGGGUGAAAAGCCCGCUCGCCGGAAGACCAAGGGUUCCUGUCCAACGUUAAUCGGGGCAGGGUGAGUCGACCCCUAAGGCGAGGCCGAAAGGCGUAGUCGAUGGGAAACAGGUUAAUAUUCCUGUACUUGGUGUUACUGCGAAGGGGGGACGGAGAAGGCUAUGUUGGCCGGGCGACGGUUGUCCCGGUUUAAGCGUGUAGGCUGGUUUUCCAGGCAAAUCCGGAAAAUCAAGGCUGAGGCGUGAUGACGAGGCACUACGGUGCUGAAGCAACAAAUGCCCUGCUUCCAGGAAAAGCCUCUAAGCAUCAGGUAACAUCAAAUCGUACCCCAAACCGACACAGGUGGUCAGGUAGAGAAUACCAAGGCGCUUGAGAGAACUCGGGUGAAGGAACUAGGCAAAAUGGUGCCGUAACUUCGGGAGAAGGCACGCUGAUAUGUAGGUGAAGUCCCUCGCGGAUGGAGCUGAAAUCAGUCGAAGAUACCAGCUGGCUGCAACUGUUUAUUAAAAACACAGCACUGUGCAAACACGAAAGUGGACGUAUACGGUGUGACGCCUGCCCGGUGCCGGAAGGUUAAUUGAUGGGGUUAGCGGUAACGCGAAGCUCUUGAUCGAAGCCCCGGUAAACGGCGGCCGUAACUAUAACGGUCCUAAGGUAGCGAAAUUCCUUGUCGGGUAAGUUCCGACCUGCACGAAUGGCGUAAUGAUGGCCAGGCUGUCUCCACCCGAGACUCAGUGAAAUUGAACUCGCUGUGAAGAUGCAGUGUACCCGCGGCAAGACGGAAAGACCCCGUGAACCUUUACUAUAGCUUGACACUGAACAUUGAGCCUUGAUGUGUAGGAUAGGUGGGAGGCUUUGAAGUGUGGACGCCAGUCUGCAUGGAGCCGACCUUGAAAUACCACCCUUUAAUGUUUGAUGUUCUAACGUUGGCCCCUUACCGGGGUUGCGGACAGUGUCUGGUGGGUAGUUUGACUGGGGCGGUCUCCUCCUAAAGAGUAACGGAGGAGCACGAAGGUUGGCUAAUCCUGGUCGGACAUCAGGAGGUUAGUGCAAUGGCAUAAGCCAGCUUGACUGCGAGCGUGACGGCGCGAGCAGGUGCGAAAGCAGGUCAUAGUGAUCCGGUGGUUCUGAAUGGAAGGGCCAUCGCUCAACGGAUAAAAGGUACUCCGGGGAUAACAGGCUGAUACCGCCCAAGAGUUCAUAUCGACGGCGGUGUUUGGCACCUCGAUGUCGGCUCAUCACAUCCUGGGGCUGAAGUAGGUCCCAAGGGUAUGGCUGUUCGCCAUUUAAAGUGGUACGCGAGCUGGGUUUAGAACGUCGUGAGACAGUUCGGUCCCUAUCUGCCGUGGGCGCUGGAGAACUGAGGGGGGCUGCUCCUAGUACGAGAGGACCGGAGUGGACGCAUCACUGGUGUUCGGGUUGUCAUGCCAAUGGCACUGCCCGGUAGCUAAAUGCGGAAGAGAUAAGUGCUGAAAGCAUCUAAGCACGAAACUUGCCCCGAGAUGAGUUCUCCCUGACUCCUUGAGAGUCCUGAAGGAACGUUGAAGACGACGACGUUGAUAGGCCGGGUGUGUAAGCGCAGCGAUGCGUUGAGCUAACCGGUACUAAUGAACCGUGAGGCUUAACCUU